rnacentral:lncRNA from 1 species
UUUCUCUUAUUUAACCAAAACUGUGCACUGCAGACAGGCUUUUUGUAAAGCAAAGCAAGGAAAAUACAAAAGGAGAAAACCCACAUAUGACAAUUCCUAGAGCAAUCCACCACCUACGACACAUCUGGUGCCCUAAGUUUUACAGGAAAGGGAAGAGAAAGCACCCAACAACCUCUAAACUAAAGCACGCAAAGGAGGAACAUUCCUGAAGUCUCACAAGUCAUAAAAAGUUUUAAAAAGUUGCUGGUAUUCUUCAAAACUCUGUCUUUACCCAGAUACCUCAUAAAACACCAAAGUUGUAAUUAAUUGAUUAAAUGAACUGAAAAUUCUAGAACUUAAAAUUGUAGAAAUGAAAUAAUGAAACCCAAGCCAUUUCCCUUUCUCAUAUGCAAUGCUAAAUUUCAUUGAUAGGUAGAUUAUCAAAUAUAAUUUCUCAGUGCUCAGGUGAAAAUUAACCGAUGGAGGAGCUGAGAUCUCCUGGUCUGGGGCCCUGCCUCAGCUGGUGACUCACCAGAGCACUCUGGCCAGCUGAAAUAUGACAGUGACAGAGGUGAUGCAGUUGUGGCUCCAUUCUAUUUCUUAAACAUUUCGUUUCUUGAACAUUUAAACAAAGCAACAGUUGCACUUCAUAGUUUUGUUUUCUCUUUGUUGGCUUCAUGCUAAUACUGAAAGGAUGUAAUGAAUUAAAGGGUGCAGUUAAUUAGUCACAAAAUUGUACAUUUUUGGUACAAAGCUUUGAUAGGGUUUUGGUUAUAUGACACUUUGUUUGCAUUUAUCUUUAAAUAAAUGAAGCUG